CACCCCCAACAACAGCACCACCAAAGUACCAAACAAAAGACAAAAAAAAAUUAUACUGACAACAAGUCUUUUUAAGUUCUCCCAACAGAUGACUUUUUUCGCAUAUUUUAAUAAAAACAACGGUUAGUUCAUUCAAGACCUAAAAGUCACCUUUCCUUCAAUUUUCUCAAUAAAUAGGAAACUGGUUUUGGGUAAAUCAUUAAUAGCAAC
rnacentral:lncRNA from 1 species